rnacentral:rRNA from 1 species
AGCGAACGCUGGCGGCAGGCCUAACACAUGCAAGUCGAACGAACCUUUCGGGGUUAGUGGCGGACGGGGGAGUAACACGUGGGAACGUGCCUUUAGGUUCGGAAUAACUCUGGGAAACUUGUGCUAAUACCGAAUGUGCCCUUCGGGGGAAAGAUUUAUCGCCUUUAGAGCGGCCCGCGUCUGAUUAGCUAGUUGGUUGAGGUAAUGGCUCACCAAGGCGACGAUCAGUAGCUGGUCUGGGAGGAUGAUCAGCCACAUUGGGACUGAGACACGGCCCAAACUCCUACGGGAGGCAGCAGUGGGGAAUCUUGCGCAAUGGGCGAAAGCCUGACGCAGCCAUGCCGCGUGAAUGAUGAAGGUCUUAGGAUUGUAAAAUUCUUUCACCGGGGACGAUAAUGACGGUACCCGGAGAAGAAGCCCCGGCUAACUUCGUG